rnacentral:lncRNA from 1 species
CAGCGCGUGCCCCGAGCUCUCUGCCUUCCCCCGCCCGUCAGCCCGAGCCCAGCCCGCGAUCCCAGCAGCAGCCCGCAGAGCAGCCCCAGCAGCAGCGCCAUGGCCGGGUGGAACGCCUACAUCGACAGCCUUAUGGCGGACGGGACCUGUCAGGACGCGGCCAUCGUAGGCUACAAGGACUCGCCCUCCGUCUGGGCCGCUGUCCCCGGGAAGACCUUCGUUAGCAUUACGGUACUGCGAGGCUUGUGCGGUCCGGGGCAUUGAUCAGGCUUAGACCCUCUGGGAGACUUGGGUGGGGGCGGGCGCAGUCUAGCGAGGGCAGCGAGAGGCCGUGAUCCGGUCCUCUUCCUGAAGCGGCGCGAAUGGCGGCUGCAUGAAACUAGGUCCCUCUGUUGCCCCCCAAGCUCUACGCCCAUCGGCGGCGGCGCCCAUCUCGCCCGCCGCCCCGCUUUCUGCGACGGGGCGUUACAUCCGGGGCACAGGGCGGGGAGGGGCGCGUCGCCCGGUGCGGCGGCCCACUUCCGCCUCCUCCAGGGCGGGGCAGGCACGCGCUGCAAUUUUAGCCUGGGAUUAUGAUUGAUAAGGGGCUUGGGGAGCUUGGACUCCCCUUUGGGCCGACUGCUCGCUCUCCCUCCACCAUUGUUUCCCCUUAUGCUGAUGGGAGCGCCAGGCGCGUGGCCUUGGGCCCUGCAGGACCUCGGUAGCACCCUGCCCCUCCCAACUCCGUUAGAGAGGGCGAGGCCGCCACCACACACACCCCCAAUUCGGCACGUUAGCCUCAACAUUCCUGUGAGGCCAAUCCCGGAAGUCCCCUCACCCUCCCUUCCCGCCAUCCGGCAGGGCUCGGAGUAGGGGAACUUUGCGAGAAGUUCUGAGACGGUAAAAGUGAAGGGAUAAGGCUGCUGCUGUCCCUGCCACCACCUUCCCUGACCACACUGCCCGGAAGUGGGGAGGGGGAGCGGAAGUUCGAAUGGGGGGAAGGGGAUUUCCGGGCGGGAGGGUACCGGAUAUGGGGUUUGGGGUUUAAGGGGGAGAAGGAGUAAGGUUCUCUGGGAUGUCUAGACUCAAAAGACUAGUCUCCUGCCCUUAUAAACUUUUUAAACUUAAUUAGAAAGCCCCCAGGGGUCAGCUUCCUUAUCUUGGGGCAUAGAUACCUAGACCUAAACUCUAGCUCACCGGGAGACCCAGGAGUCCCGGCUCCUAACAACGCCUGCAGAACCUUUGACCAAAUAAGGACAAAGUUACUUCUCCUCCCUUCCUACCCCCUCCCUUCCCCUCUCCGCUUCUGCUUUUCCUGAAGGACUGUUCUGAGCAUC